AUCGUUUAAACAAUACUGGAAAAACUUUAAAAAUUAGCCAAUUAUUGAAAUAAAUGCACUAAUAAUAACUUGCUAAACAUUAGCCAGUUGCUAUUAUUUAUAUACAAAACAUCUGUCAACUGCAUACACUCAUGCUUUUCCCUGCCACUUGAGUCUCCCACUCACCAGGUAUCUUUAUAGAAAUUUUUAAAAAAAGGUUUAAAAAGUAAAAAAGUUUAAAAAGUUAGAUUUUCAAAAAAAAGUUAAAGAGAU